rnacentral:rRNA from 1 species
CAUAUCAAUAAGCGGAGGAAAAGAAACCAACAGGGAUUGCCCUAGUAACGGCGAGUGAAGCGGCAACAGCUCAAAUUUGAAAUCUGGCUCUUUCAGAGUCCGAGUUGUAAUUUGCAGAGGGCGCUUUGGCUUUGGCAGCGGUCCAAGUUCCUUGGAACAGGACGUCACAGAGGGUGAGAAUCCCGUACGUGGUCGCUAGCUAUUGCCGUGUAAAGCCCCUUCGACGAGUCGAGUUGUUUGGGAAUGCAGCUCUAAAUGGGAGGUAAAUUUCUUCUAAAGCUAAAUAUUGGCCAGAGACCGAUAGCGCACAAGUAGAGUGAUCGAAAGAUGAAAAGCACUUUGGAAAGAGAGUCAAACAGCACGUGAAAUUGUUGAAAGGGAAGCGCUUGCAGCCAGACUUGCUUGCAGUUGCUCAUCCGGGCUUUUGCCCGGUGCACUCUUCUGCAGGCAGGCCAGCAUCAGUUUGGGCGGUGGGAUAAAGGUCUCUGACACGUUCCUUCCUUCGGGUUGGCCAUAUAGGGGAGACGUCAUACCACCAGCCUGGACUGAGGUCCGCGCAUCUGCUAGGAUGCUGGCGUAAUGGCUGUAAGCGGCCCGUCUUGAAACACGGACCAAGGAGUCUAACAUCUAUGCGAGUGUUUGGGUGUCAAGCCCGAGCGCGUAAUGAAAGUGAACGGAGGUGGGAACCCGCAAGGGUGCACCAUCGACCGAUCCUGAAGUUUACGGAAGGAUUUGAGUAAGAGCAUGGCUGUUGGGACCCGAAAGAUGGUGAACUAUGCUUGAAUAGGGUGAAGCCAGAGGAAACUCU